rnacentral:rRNA from 1 species
CCAGACUCCUACGGGAGGCAGCAGUGGGGAAUAUUGCACAAUGGGGGAAACCCUGAUGCAGCAACGCCGCGUGAGUGAAGAAGUAUUUCGGUAUGUAAAGCUCUAUCAGCAGGGAAGAGAAUGACGGUACCUGACUAAGAAGCCCCGGCUAACUACGUGCCAGCAGCCGCGGUAAUACGUAGGGGGCAAGCGUUAUCCGGAUUCACUGGGUGUAAAGGGAGCGUAGACGGCCAUGCAAGCCUGGAGUGAAAGCCCGGGGCCCAACCCCGGGACUGCUCUGGGAACUGUGCGGCUGGAGUGCGGGAGGGGCAGGCGGAAUUCCUGGUGUAGCGGUGAAAUGCGUAGAUAUUAGGAGGAACACCAGUGGCGAAGGCGGCCUGCUGGACGGUGACUGACGCUGAGGCUCGAAAGCGUGGGGAGCAAACAGGAUUAGAUACCCUGGUA